UACGCAGGGUGCAAGCGUUAAUCGGAAUUACUGGGCGUAAAGCGUGCGUAGGCGGUUCGGAAAGAGAGGUGUGAAAUCCCAGGGCUUAACCUUGGAACUGCACUUCUAACUACCGGGCUAGAGUACGUCAGAGGGGGGUAGAAUUCCACGUGUAGCAGUGAAAUGCGUAGAGAUGUGGAGGAAUACCGAUGGCGAAGGCAGCCCCCUGGGAUGAUACUGACGCUCAUGCACGAAAGCGUGGGGAGCAAACAGG
rnacentral:rRNA from 1 species